AAGGAGAUUGCAUAUUCAAGAUUUUGGAGAAGAUAAAGGAAUCAUAUUCCAAAGCAAAGAAUAAGCACAUUAGUCUUGAGAGGUAUAUUCAGCACCUCAAAAUUAAGAAAAAAGUGAGAAUUAAGAUUGGACCAAAGAAUAAGACACUGGGAUGUUUAGUAUAUCCAAAGCUUUAAGAAAGUAGUUUAUGUAAGUUGCAGGCCUAAGGUACAAAUACAUACCAUUUGCCUAGUAGAAAAGACUGCCUCUUUCUAUCUUGCCCAACCAGCACAACCAGACAAAUAAAAAGCUUCUAUUCU
rnacentral:lncRNA from 1 species